UAGGGAAUCUUCGGCAAUGGACGAAAGUCUGACCGAGCAACGCCGCGCGAGUGAAGAAGGUUUUCGGAUCGUAAAACUCUGUUGUUAGAGAAGAACAAGGACGUUAGUAACUGAACGUCCCCUGACGGUAUCUAACCAGAAAGCCACGGCUAACUACGUGCCAGCAGCCGCGGUAAUACGUAGGUGGCAAGCGUUGUCCGGAUUUAUUGGGCGUAAAGCGAGCGCAGGCGGUUUCUUAAGUCUGAUGUGAAAGCCCCCGGCUCAACCGGGGAGGGUCAUUGGAAACUGGGAGACUUGAGUGCAGAAGAGGAGGGUGGAAUUCCAUGUGUAGCGGUGAAAUGCGUAGAUAUAUGGAGGAACACCAGUGGCGAAGGCGGCUCUCUGGUCUGUAACUGACGCUGAGGCUCGAAAGCGUGGGGAGCAAACAGG
rnacentral:rRNA from 1 species